AACUUUUGGCAAUGGAUCCCUUGGCUCUCGCAUCGAUGAAGAACGCAGCGAAAUUCGAUAAGUAAUGUGAAUUGCAGAAUUCAGUGAAUCAUCGAAUCUUUGAACGCAUCUUGCGCUCCUUGGUAUUCCGAGGAGCAUGCCUGUUUGAGUGUCAUUUGACUUCUCUCAACCACAUCGUCUUUUCGAUUGUGGCUUGGAUGUGGGGGGAUUUGCAGGCUAACUAACUGACAAGCCGGCUCCCCUGAAAUGCAUUAGUGGUAAUCUGAGCUGCUAUUGGUGUGAUAAUUUAUCUAUGCCUUUGGUACAGGACCGCUUAUAAACAACACAAAAAAUCAUUUGACAAAAGUUAUAGAGGGUGGA
rnacentral:misc_RNA from 1 species